rnacentral:rRNA from 1 species
GGCGAACGCUGGCGGCGUGCCUAAUACAUGCAAGUUGAGCGCUGAAGGUUGGUACUUGUACCAACUGGAUGAGCAGCGAACGGGUGAGUAACGCGUGGGGAAUCUGCCUUUGAGCGGGGGACAACAUUUGGAAACGAAUGCUAAUACCGCAUAAAAACUUUAAACACAAGUUUUAAGUUUGAAAGAUGCAAUUGCAUCACUCAAAGAUGAUCCCGCGUUGUAUUAGCUAGUUGGUGAGGUAAAGGCUCACCAAGGCGAUGAUACAUAGCUGACCUGAGAGGGUGAUCGGCCACAUUGGGACUGAGACACGGCCCAAACUCCUACGGGAGGCAGCAGUAGGGAAUCUUCGGCAAUGGACGAAAGUCUGACCGAGCAACGCCGCGUGAGUGAAGAAGGUUUUCGGAUCGUAAAACUCUGUUGGUAGAGAAGAACGUUGGUGAGAGUGGAAAGCUCAUCAAGUGACGGUAACUACCCAGAAAGGGACGGCUAACUACGUG